UUUAAGCCGCCUGGUGGAUGGCUCGGCUCGGGCGCCGAAGAAGGGCGCGGCAAGCGGCGAUAUGCCCGGGUGAGGCGCAUGCAGCCGUAGAACCCGGGAUUCCCGAAUGGGAACUCCUACUGCAGGUUAAUAGCCUGCAGUGCCCGGAUAACCGGGCGGGAACCCCCCGAACGGAAACAUCUUAGUAGGGGGAGGAGGAGAAACCAAACGGGAUUCCCUGAGUAGGGGCGACCGAAAGGGGAAGAGGUCAAACCAAAUCCCUCUAUGAUAAGUAGAGGGAGAUGUGGUGUUGAGAGCUUCUGGCUGGUUAAAAGCCAGAAAGCCGAGCCUCGGUAGCUGAAGUGGGCUGGAAUGCCCCACCGCAGAGGGUGAUAGUCCCGUAAGCAAAACCGAGGUGGCUUUCGCCAGAAGCUAGAGUACUACGGCCCGGUUUGGCCGUAGGAAGCAGGGAGCCACCAGCUUCCAAACCUAAAUACGUCCCGAGACCGAUAGCGGACAAGUACCGCGAGGGAAAGCUGAAAAGGACCCCGAGAGGGGUGUGAAAAGAGCCUGAAACCAGGCGGUUACACCGGAUGCAGCCCGAAAGAAAUGAACUUCUCCAAAGGAAAACGGAGUGAUCCGUGAGUACGAGGAGAAGCGAUCGGGGUUGCAUCUUCCGUCUUGAAACACGGGCCGGGGAGUUCACGGUUGUGGCGAGCUUAAGGGGCUAACCCCCGAAGGCUCAGGGAAACCGACAAGUCCGCAACCGGUUCUCCGGUGAGGGACGGGGUCCCAAAGGGCCUGGAGUCACAGCCGUGAAACCCGAAACCGGGUGAUCUAGGCGGGGGCAGAGCGAAGCCGAGGGAAACCUCGGUGGAGGCUCGAAAGGGUUCUGACGUGCAAUUCGUUCCCCUGACCCCCGUCUAGGGGCAAAAGACCAAUCUAACCCGGUGAUAGCUGGUUCCCGCCGAAGUGGGUCUCAGCCCAGCCUCACUGGAGGUAGGCCAUGGGGUAGAGUUACUGAUUGGAAGUGCAGUAGCCGAAAGGCUACGACUUCCAGUCAAACUCCGAACCUGUGGCCGCCGAAGAAGGUGGGAGUGGGGUUUCCCAGGGGUAAGCCUGGGAGCCGAGAGGGGAACAACUCAGACCGAGGUUAAGGCCCCAAAGUGCUGGCUAAGUGCCAUCUAAAGGGCGUCCUCAGCCUAAGACAGCGGGGAGGUUGGCCCAGCAGCAGCCAUCCUCUAAGGAGUGCGUAACAGCUCACCCGCCGAGGCUGAGGGCCCCGAAGAUUGGUCGGGGCUAAGCCAGCCGCCGAUACCUCGGGGCACCUCUGCAUUGCAGAGGUGAUCCGGUAGGCGGGCGUCGGGGUGGGGCAGAAGUCGGGCCGUGAGGUCCGAUGGACCCGCUCCGAGUGCGGAUCCCGGUGGUAGUAACAGCGAAGAGGGGUGGGAAUCCCCUCCGCCAGAAAGGGCCAGGGUUCCUCGGCAACGGUCGUCGGCCGAGGGUCAGCCGGUCCUAAGCGAGCCCGUAACACGGCGCUCGCAAAAGGGAAACAGGUUAAUAUUCCUGUGCCGUGGAGGUAGGCAUCGCGGCAACGCAAAGCUCAGCUCCUGACGUUUCGGGGUAGGCUGACAGGGGUAGCCGCCCCUGCUAACCUGCCGAAUACCGGGAAGUACCGUCAAGGUGAGAACCGGUAGAAGGGGGGAAUGGCCUGCCUAGUGCAGGUUCAGCCGAUCCCUGGAACCCAUGAAAAGGGAGCUGAGAACGAUCCUCCACGCCCGUACCGAGAACCGACACAGGUGCCCCAGGGUGAGAAGCCCAAGGCGUCUGGGGGUCAGCGCAGGCCAGGGAACUCGGCAAAUUAGCCCCGUAUCUUCGGAAGAAGGGGUGCCUGUGGACCUGGGCAGAAACCUGGGUCCAUAGGUCGCAGUGCCUAGAGGGACCUGACUGUUUAAUAAAAACAUAGCUCACCGCUAGCCUGUAAAGGUUUGUACGGUGGGUGAAUCCUGGCCACUGGCGGUCCGUGAACCCCGGGUCCAACCGGGCGAAGCGCCGCUGAAGGCCGGGAGUAACUCUGACUCUCUUAAAAGGUAGCCAAAUGCCUUGCCGGGUAAGUUCCGGCGCGCAUGAACGGAUCAACGAGGUCCCUACUGUCCCGGCCUGCGCCCCCGUGAAUCUAUAAGCUGGUUCACAGUCCAGCAACCUCCCGUAGGGAGAGAAGACCCCGUGGAGCUUUACUGCAGCCAGAUGUUGUCCUAUGGGAGUGGGAACGUAGCGUAGGUGGGAGGCGUCGAUCCUACCCUUUCGGGGGUAGGGGAGCCGAUCCUGAAACACCACCUUCUCGCUCCCGUAGGACUUACCCUGGGUAUCCAGGGGACAGCACCUGGUGGGCAGUUCGGCUGGGGCGGCACGCGCGCGAAAAGAUAACACGCGUGCCCAAAGGUCGGCUCAAGCGGGUCAGAAACCCGCUGUAGAGUGCAAGGGCAAAAGCCGGCCUGACCGAACCCCGGAUAACAACGGGUUCGGACGGGAAACCGAGGCCUAGCGAACGCUCGUGCCCCCACUGGUGGGGGCCGGGCAUGACAGAAAAGUUACCCCGGGGAUAACGGAGUCGUCGCGGGCGAGAGCUCCCAUCGACCCCGCGGUUUGCUGCUUCGAUGUCGGCUCUUCCCAUCCUAGAGGUGCAGCAGCCUCUAAGGGUGGGGCUGCCCGCCCAUUAAAGGGGAUCGUGAGCUGGGUUUAAACCGUCGUGAGACAGGUUGGACUCUACCCACGGGAGGCGUUGGCCGUCUGAGGGGAAGAUGCCCACAGUACGAGAGGAACUGGGCAUCGCGGCCUCUAGUCUACCGGUUGUCCGGCAGGGCAAUGCCGGGCAGCCACGCCGUUAGGGAUAACCGCUGAAAGCAUCUAAGCGGGAAGCCCGCCCCGAGACGAGACGGCCAUUCCGUGCGGGGAAACUCGCACGGAUGGAGGGCCCCCGUAGAAGACGGGCUUGAUAGGACGGGGGUGUAAGCUCCGAGGGACUUGUUCCCGAGGAGUGAGCCUGCCGUUACUAAAAGCCCGACGCCGCUUGC
rnacentral:rRNA from 1 species